AUGAUCUCUCUUCAGACAAAGAACCUCAACUGAAAGCUUCCUCAAAGACACCACUGGUUUUCAACCUACUCUUUGACUACUCUGUGACCUACUCAUGUGAACCACUGCUCAUGUGACCACAUGUUUGUUCAAAUGUUGUCGAUGAGAUUCAUCUAAAGAAGAGAUGAGUAAAAUAUAAAUAAAAGACGUCACUGA